GCCAUAGCUCAGUGGCAGAGCAUCUGUUUUGCAUGGAGGAGGUGCCAGGUUCAAUCCCAGGUAUCUCCA